ACGCUCGACACCUACGGAGGCAGCAGUCGGGAAUAUUGCGCAAUGGAGGGAAACUCUGACGCAGUGACGCCGCGUGCAGGAAGAAGGUUUUCGGAUUGUAAACUGCUUUAGACAGGGAAGAAAGAAAUGACAGUACCUGUAGAAUAAGCUCCGGCUAACUACGNGCCAGCAGCCGCGGUAAUCUGAGCGGGCUGGCAAGGC
rnacentral:rRNA from 1 species